CAAAUAACCAAAAACACAGACUCUGUACACAAGAAAACCAGAGAGGAAAUGGCAAUGACACCUCAAGAUAGAUCAAAGCCACUCCACAACUUCUCAUUGCCUUGCUUGAAAUGGGGUCACCAAAGAGUCCUUAGAUGNUGUCAAAGUUACAGAUGAUCCUCAUCUUCGAUCUUCCUCUUUGAUUCCUAAUGGAUUGCAACCCAAACCCACCAACCUUGACACCCCCAAGAAUCACAAACCAAUCCCAAUCCAAGAGAAUCGCAUUUCCCCUGAUCUUAGAUUCAAUGGGGGUGCUAAGAGAUUGAAAGUCUCUCCUCUUCUUGAAGAAGAGAGGGGCAAUGAUGAUUCUACCAAGCCUUGGAAUUUGAGGACCAGAAGGGCGGCAUGCAAGGCGCCACU
rnacentral:misc_RNA from 1 species